rnacentral:rRNA from 1 species
UACAGAGGGUGCGAGCGUUGUCCGGAAUCACUGGGCGUAAAGGGCGCGUAGGCGGCUCGGUCAGCGUGCGGUGAAAGCCUGGGGCUCAACCCCGGGUCGGCCGUGCGAACUGCCGAGCUGGAGCACUGUAGAGGCAGGUGGAAUUCCGGGUGUAGCGGUGGAAUGCGUAGAGAUCCGGAAGAACACCGGUGGCGAAGGCGGCCUGCUGGGCAGUUGCUGACGCUGAGGCGCGACAGCGUGGGGAGCAAACAGG